rnacentral:rRNA from 1 species
ACUACGGGUGGCAGCAGUGAGGAAUAUUGGUCAAUGGCCGGAAGGCUGAACCAGCCAAGCCGCGUGAAGGACGAAGGUGCCAAGCAUUGUAAACUUCUUUUGUCAAGGGACAAAAUCAGGCUCGAGAGCCUGACCGAGGGUACUUGAAGAAAAAGCAUCGGCUAACUCCGUGCCAGCAGCCGCGGUAAUACGGAGGAUGCGAGCGUUAUCCGGAGUGAUUGGGUUGAAAGGGUGCGUAGGCGGGCUGUUAAGUCAGCGGUAAAAGCCCGGGGCUAAACCCCGGCGAGCCGUUGAAACUGGCUGUCUUGAGUGGGCGAGAAGUAUGCGGAAUGCGUGGUGUAGCGGUGAAAUGCAUAGAUAUCACGCAGAACUCCGAUUGCGAAGGCAGCAUACCGGCGCCCGACUGACGCUGAGGCACGAAAGCGUGGGGAUCGAACAGGAUUAGAUACCCGAGUAGUC